GACGAACGCUGGCGGCGUGCUUAACACAUGCAAGUCGAACGACGAAGCCUAGCUUGCUAGGUGGAUUAGUGGCGAACGGGUGAGUAAUACGUGAGUAACCUACCUUUAACUCUGGGAUAAGCCUGGGAAACUGGGUCUAAUACCGGAUACGACCAAUCUCCGCAUGGGGUGUUGGUGGAAAGCGUUAUGUAGUGGUUAUAGAUGGGCUCACGGCCUAUCAGCUUGUUGGUGAGGUAACGGCUCACCAAGGCGACGACGGGUAGCCGGCCUGAGAGGGUGACCGGCCACACUGGGACUGAGACACGGCCCAGACUCCUACGGGAGGCAGCAGUGGGGAAUAUUGCACAAUGGGCGCAAGCCUGAUGCAGCGACGCCGCGUGAGGGAUGACGGCCUUCGGGUUGUAAACCUCUGUUAGCAGGGAAGAAGAGAGAUUGACGGUACCUGCAGAGAAAGCGCCGGCUAACUACGUGCCAGCAGCCGCGGUAAUACGUAGGGCGCGAGCGUUGUCCGGAAUUAUUGGGCGUAAAGAGCUUGUAGGCGGUUUGUCGCGUCUGCUGUGAAAGGCCGGAGCUUAACUCCGUGUAUUGCAGUGGGUACGGGCAGACUAGAGUGCAGUAGGGGAGACUGGAAUUCCUGGUGUAGCGGUGGAAUGCGCAGAUAUCAGGAGGAACACCGAUGGCGAAGGCAGGUCUCUGGGCUGUAACUGACGCUGAGAAGCGAAAGCAUGGGGAGCGAACAGG
rnacentral:rRNA from 1 species